UAUAUAUAAGGAAGGGAUCAGUUAACAGUUGAGGGGCUUUUACUUCUGGACCUGGAGGAAGCAGGAGGUAUUUAUUGAAGAGGCACAAUUCCCACAAAGACCCAAUAUAGCCUUGGUGUCUUGUCCGUCUCUUUCAAGGCCAAUCGCAGCAUUUGCAGCUCUCAUUAAAUACAAGGCCAUCGGCACAUCUUUUGGCCACCGUAUUACCAUGGGCACACUCAAAAAACCUAGAUGGAUCAUCUGGAUCAGCAUAGAUUCCAUCAGCUUUGCCCUCACAGAAGAUCUCCCAGGAAUUAUUCCCUAUUUAAGCAGAACUAGCUUUUGAUGGCUUACUACUACAAUGACUGUCAACCUGUGAUGCAUACCUAGGAAGACUUGAGGCAAGUGAUUGCAUGAGUAAAUAUGCUGACUUUCACCGCCAUAUAAGCUUCCACAACACCUGUGAACAGUAGCCACCAAUGACCAAUGCAGGUACUUGUGUAUUUAUUAGAAACGUUCUCCUGCUCCUGCUUUCUCUCUUAAAAUGAACUCAUUCAAGGAUAAGUCAUUCCUAGCACCAACAUGACUUGGACAAGCAAUGAAGAGAAGAAAUCAGUGCUAUUAUUCUGCUAACUUUGAUCCCUGCUUGCACUGGAAAUCUUUCCAAGUAUUCCAUGAACUAGACAGUAGACUUGACUAGAUGGUCUUUUGUGUCCUUUCCAUUUCUAAGAUUCUAUAUCUGUAUCUUUUCCUUAUUAUUUAAGUCCCAUAGUGCCCCCACUCAAUUUCAUAACUUGAUGACUUACCUUGUG